rnacentral:rRNA from 1 species
UACGUAGGGUGCAAGCGUUAAUCGGAAUUACUGGGCGUAAAGCGUGCGCAGGCGGUUAUGUAAGACAGAUGUGAAAUGCCCGGGCUUAACCUGGGAACUGCAUUUGUGACUGCAUGGCUAGAGUUUGGCAGAGGGGGGUAGAAUUCCACGUGUAGCAGUGAAAUGCGUAGAUAUGUGGAGGAACACCGAUGGCGAAGGCAGCCCCCUGGGCUAGCACUGACGCUCAGGCACGAAAGCGUGGGGAGCAAACAGG